UACGAAGGGGGCUAGCGUUGCUCGGAAUCACUGGGCGUAAAGCGCACGUAGGCGGAUUGUUAAGUCAGAGGUGAAAUCCUGGAGCUCAACUCCAGAACUGCCUUUGAUACUGGCAAUCUCGAGUCCGGGAGAGGUGAGUGGAACUGCGAGUGUAGAGGUGAAAUUCGUAGAUAUUCGCAAGAACACCAGUGGCGAAGGCGGCUCACUGGCCCGGUACUGACGCUGAGGUGCGAAAGCGUGGGGAGCAAACAGG
rnacentral:rRNA from 1 species